rfam:Lactococcus piscium MKFS47 genome assembly, chromosome: I
GGUCCCGUAGUGUAGCGGUUAUCACGUCGCCCUGUCACGGCGAAGAUCGCGGGUUCAAUUCCCGUCGGGACCG